rnacentral:rRNA from 1 species
GNNGAUGCAANGGCGCUUUNNGAAAUCCCANGGNUCAACCGUGGAAUUGCUUGGCGAACCAUGCAUCUUGAGGUUGGUAGAGGUCACUGGAACGAUAGGUGGAGCGGUGAAAUGCGUAGAUAUCUAUCGGAACGCCAACGGUGAAGACAGGUGACUGGGCCAAAUCUGACGNUGAGGCACGAAAGCGUGGGGAGCAAACGGGAUUAGAUACCCCGGUAGUCCACGCUGUAAACGAUGCACACUUGGUCGGAGCGGUUUGACUCCGUUUCGGCCGUAGGAAAACUGAUGAGUGUGCCGCCUGGGGAGUACGGUCGCAAGAUUAAAACUCAAAGGAAUUGACGGGGGCUCACACAAGCGGUGGAGCAUGUGGCUUAAUUCGAAGCAACGCGAAGAACCUUACCUAGGCUUGACAUGCACGGAUAAACCCUAUGAAAGUAGGGGUACACCCGCAAGGGCGGAACGUGCACAGGUGCUGCAUGGCUGUCGUCAGCUCGUGCUGUGAAGUGUCGGGUUAAGUCCCUCAACGAGCGCAACCCCUGUCGCUACUUGCUAACGCGUAAUGGCGAGGACUGUAGCGAGACUGCCGGUGUCAAACCGGAGGAAGGUGGGGAUGACGUCAAGUCCUCAUGGCCUUUAUGUCUAGGGCUGCACACGUGCUACAAUGGUAUGUACAGAACGAUGCAAGACCGCAAGGUGGAGCAAAUCGCUAAAGCAUACCCCAGUUCAGAUUGCGGGCUGCAAUUCGCCCGCAUGAAGUUGGAAUCGCUAGUAAUCGCGGAUCAGCUACGCCGCGGUGAAUAUGUUCCUGAGCCUUGUACACACCGCCCGUCAAGUCAUGGGAGCCGGCAGUGCCCGAAGUCGCGCAAUUUCAUGCGUGCCCACGGCAAGGCUGGUGACUGGGACU